CCAGACAGCCAGGAUGUUGGCUUAGAAGCAGCCAUCAUUUAAAGAAAGCGUAAUAGCUCACUGGUCGAGUCGGCCUGCGCGGAAGAUGUAACGGGGCUAAACCAUGCACCGAAGCUGCGGCAGCGACACUGUGUGUUGUUGGGUAGGGGAGCGUUCUGUAAGCCUGUGAAGGUGUGUCGUGAGGCAUGCUGGAGGUAUCAGAAGUGCGAAUGCUGACAUAAGUAACGAUAAAGCGGGUGAAAAGCCCGCUCGCCGGAA
rnacentral:rRNA from 1 species